GCCUACGGGAGGCAGUAGUGAGGAAUAUUGGUCGAUGGGCUUACGCCUGAACCAGCCAAGUCGCGUGAGGGAAGACUGCCCUAUGGGUUGUAAACCUCUUUUGUCAGGGGGCAACGCCGGCUACGUGUAGCCGGACUGAGAAUACCUGAAGAAAAAGCACCGGCUAACUCCGUGCCAGCAGCCGCGGUAAUACGGAGGAUGCGAGCGUUAUCCGGAUUUAUUGGGUUUAAAGGGUGCGUAGGCGGAAUGCCAAGUCAGCGGUAAAAUCGCGGGGCUCAACCUCGCUC
rnacentral:rRNA from 1 species